CCAAAGCAGACAAGCACUUAGCAUUAAAGAACACCAUUGAACAGAUUAUCAACUGUACAGUUGUCACCCUGGUCAGGUAGCUGUGAGCUCAAAGGGCUCUCCAGCCCUCCUCCUGACCUAGGACAUUACUGUUUCUGUAUGCUAAGCACGUACCAAAUAUCAGCCCAUAUCAAAGCUCUUAUUUUAAUAUUUGUUUCAGUGUAAGUCUCCUGCCUCACCCAUAUGUGAUUAAGAAAGUUGAUCAUCCUGGUGACUCUUGCUGUUUUGGGUUUUUUUUGGGUAGGUGACCUGUAUUUGAGGCAGCUACGGCCUAGACGAACCAUUUUAGCAGUAGUGCCACAUUUGUUUGUAAAUCUAUCACAAGAAGUUAUACCUGCUGAUUCUAUUCAAUCUGAAGAAAGGGCAAGCUAAGGUGCCGUAUUCAAAUAGAUGCAUCUACAUACAGAAGAAGCCUGAUUCUACACUAGCCCUUGCCUUAUUUAAAUUAUUUACAUCUCUUCCAAGUGAGAGUAAAAUGCUCCUGAGAUGGGGGUAAAUUAUCCACAACUAUUACCCCUACCCCUACCCCCACCCCCACCCCGGUUUCCUGAAUCUCUGCAUAAUGGCUGAGGCACAGGCUAGAUUCAGAGAGCAUUGCACAAAGAUAAAUGUCAAGGGUAUUUUACCCAGAAUGCUGAAUGCAAGUGUGAGUGACAGCUCCCAGCCAUCUUUAAAGAAAGGGGACUGCACAAUUCUUCAUAAACACAUCCAUAAAACACCCAAAAUACAAAGAGUGUUUGGAAUAUUUCUUAAAUAGCCUUUAAAGCCUAAAGCCAUUGGGUAAAUAAGUUUGCCAGUUUUUCUUCCUAGACAGAGUCACACAACUCUGCUGCUCAACCCGAAGGGUUCAAGUCAGACCUCGCUUUGUAUUUACGCUCUUGGCUUUGAACCUUUUCUUGGGUCACAUUUGUAAACUGAUUCCCCACAAAGGCUAGAAACUUACUUUUAUCUGAAAUGAAAACUGAGAUUCUCACCAUUGCACCAGCAGCGGUGACUUUAAGAUAAACACCACAUAUCAAACACACAUUACAAUCUAAAAUUGCAGCAUAACAUUUCUAUACUUUAGCACAGGGGUUCUCAACCUUUUUCUUUCUGAGCUCCCCCCCCAAAAUGUGAUAAAAAUGCCAGGUCCCACCUAUGGCACAACAGCUGGUUUUCUGCAUAUAAAAGCCAGGGCCGGCGUUAAGGAGGAGCAAGCAGGACAAUUGCCUGAGGUUCCAAGCCAUAGGGUGCCCCACGAAGCUAAGUUGCUCAGGCUUCUGCUUCUGCCCUGGGUGGCAGGACUCAAGGCCCCAGACUUCAGCCCUGUGCGGCAGGGCUUAGGCUUUGUGCCCUAGCCCCCAGCGAGUCUAACACUGUUCCUGCGUGGCGGACCCCCUGAAACCUACUCGCAACUCCUUAAGGGUCCCCAGACCCUUGGUUGAGAACCACAGCUUUAGCACACAUAUGUAAAAACUAGUGACCAUGCCCAGUAAGUACCAUACCUUUCUUCAGCAUGCUUAGAGGAGUCAGAAUGGCCUAGAGGAUAGAGCACUGGAGUAGGACUCAGGAGACCUGAGGUCUUGGCUCCGCUACUGGGUGAUAUUGGGCACUUCACUCCUCUGUGCCUUGGUGGUAUUUCCCCACUGUAAAAUAGGAAUAAUGAUACUGACCUCCUUUGUAAAGCACUUUGAGAACUACUGCUAAACAGUGCCAUAGAAGAGCUAAGCCCUUCUAGCUGCGUCACCUUGCCCUACUCGCUGCACGUGUGCAGGGACACAGACAAUUUGAAGAAAUCCAUUCCUGCUCCCACGGCUUCUCCCGAUUCCUGUACAGAAAAAGAAAAGCUGCAUUAUAAAGCCUGUGCGUUACGCUACCAUUCUGACUGUAGCAUUUUUCACCCACGUAGACCAGAUGUGACUGACCUCGCAAGGUAGGAGAGAAUCAAGCCCAAGGUGUUUCUUAAAACUUCUCUAGAUUAAGGAGCUACAAGUUUUGAGAUUGAAUAUAAAAACAUGGAGAAGUAUUUGGGCUGUCUACCUUAAAGGACCUUGCAGCGGGAUAAUACCUUGAGUCAGUAACCCCUGAAGGCCUAUCCCAGGGCUAGAGUGUAGCUGCCUGUUUAGCAAGUGCUCAGGAUGGGGGUUGGGGGGAAGCACAGGGCACAAGGAAUCUUUCCCCUUGCAUGACUCAAGCUGAAGCCAGGGGGAGUACUUUAGGGAAUAAAAGGAUUGCCUCCAGCAGUACAUCUAUGGAAGUACACACCACAUUCAAGAGUGGAAAAUAGAGCAUCAUGUGCUUGGAUAGGGAUUCUGCAUAGUGCCUCAGUGAACUCCCUCCGAACUGGUGCAGCUGGGCACCAUCUCCUAUUCUGGCCUGUGUCUAAAAGGCACAAUUUAGAUCCAAGUGAGCUAUUUGGAUUUUUGACUGCAGUCAAUAUAGAGAGGGCAGAAGGACUGAAUUGCCCAACCUCCCACCUUUCUGAUGCUUCUUUGGGAUCUUUUCAAACACAAACCACAAGGUAGGGUGGGAGAUUCAGAGAUAUAAACAAGCAGGACUAGUCAAGGACUGUAGUACCUUCAUUUGCCAAAGCAUGUAGGGAACAGGAACUCAAACAAAAGCAAAGCAACAUAAGGCAGCUUUGGGGAUCUGAAAAGAACCCAAAGCUGUCAUGAGAGUUGAAUAAUAUAGUUUACUAUAACACACACACACAGAGACAGACCCCUGCUCCUGCUAAAGCUGCAAUCAAAAAUAUCAGAAUAUAACCACUGCUGUAUUCCUGAGCUGACAAAGGCCCUGAGUGAGCAAGACAGCUGAGCACAUGCCUAACUUUACCACUAGCCUCAAUGAAGUCAAAUGGAAUUACUCAUGUGUUUGAAGUCAGGUUAAGUACCUUGCUGUAUUGGGGACCACAGGCAUUCUGUACAAGGGGAGGAAAGUAAGGAGUUCAGUGCUUCCAAUACUCUUCUCAAUGGUUGGAUGCUCAUUCCACAUCAAACUUCAGCUGUUUGAAGUUUCCCCACCGUGAAGUUGUCUCCAGUGCUGGAAUGGGGGUGGCAGGCACCAUAGGGAAGAGCAGUUACACAGCAGCAUCUCUCUCCCCCUGCAGACCUGCCAGAACCUCUUGUAGGAACAAUACACAAUCCCAUCAGUGUGGGAUCAAAAUGAGUCACUAGCUGGACACAUUCAAGAAACAGCUCUCCACAGUCUUCUCCCCUGAAGCAGAGAGGUGAGUGCUGAAGGGUUUGGGAGAGCAUUCCUGUCAUAAAUAUAAAGGGAAAGGUAAACACCUUUAAAAUCCCUCCUGGCCAGAGGAAAAACCCUUUCACCUGUAAAGGGUUAAGAAGCUAGGAUAAUCUUGCUGGCACCUGACCAAAAUGACCAAUGAGGAGACAAGAUACUUUCAAAAGCUGGAGUGGGGGAGAAACAAAGGCUUUCUCUGUCUGUGUGAUGCUUUUGCCAGGAACAGAACAGGAAUGAAGUCUUAGAACUUACUAAGUAAUCUAGCUAGAUAUGCGUUAGAUUCAGUUUUGUUUAAAUGGCUGAGAAAAUAAGCUGUGCUGAAUAAAAUGGAUAUUCCUGUUUUUGUGUCUUUUUGUAACUUAAGGUUUUACCUAGAAGGAUUCUCUAUGUUUUGAAUCUGAUUACCCUGUAAGGUAUUUACCAUCCUGAUUUUACAGAGGUGAUUCUUUUACUUUUUCUUCUAUUAAAAUUCUUCUUAU